GUGCCAGCAGCCGCGGUAAUACGUAGGUGGCAAGCGUUGUCCGGAUUUACUGGGCGUAAAGAGCGCGCAGGCGGUCUUGUAAGUCGAAUGUGAAAGCCCCUGGCUCAACCAGGGAGGGUCAUUCGAUACUGCUUGACUCGAAGGCAGGAGAGGGAAGUGGAAUUCCGGGUGUAGUGGUGAAAUGCGUAGAUAUCCGGAGGAACACCAGUGGCGAAGGCGACUUUCUGGCCUGUUCUUGACGCUGAGGCGCGAAAGCUAGGGGAGCAAACGGGAUUAGAAACCCUCGUAGUCC
rnacentral:rRNA from 1 species